rnacentral:lncRNA from 1 species
CCCGUGUUGGGAGAAGCAUGAGUCAUGGAGGGUGAGCGCGAAGGUCCUUUCGGCUUGAGGGAAGGACUGUGGGAGGGACGUCGGGCCAGUGGCAAAGAGCUCUCCACAUGGGGCGGCCUUGGGGGCUCGGGUUCAGAAGAUGACUCUUGACCCUGACCCUUGAUAGGACUCAACAAUUGGUAGCUGCUGUGGCCCUUCCCCACUCCCAGGAUCCCUGCCCUGGGAGCGGUAGGUGAGAAGAACUGAUGGAACCUUCCAGAACUUUCUCCUCCCAGUCUCCAGUCCCCGAAGAGGUUCUCAAAUGUCGGAGCUCCAAAGGUGUGACGUGCUUUUCCUGGCAUGCUCUCUGUGAAAGUCAGAGUGGAGCUCAACCCGCUUGUGAACGUCUCCCGUUGGCUCAGAGAAGACCCCAAGCUCGCCCUUGGAGAGGUUGCUUUUCCCACAGCCGUGUCACUUCAGAGACUCGCUGGGGGACACGCCAGGUUUUAAUCGCGACGCGGCCGGUAGUUAGCCCGAGAACGUUGCAUAAGGAACGGCCUUCUCAGAAAUGUGUUCGUACCUCAGUGUGAGGGGGGCUGUUUAGAAGAGGAGGAAGAGGAAGACAAGACCCGAUGGGAUUGCUAGGCCAGAGGAUUUGACCAUCCCCAGCUUCAUGCAACAUUGUUUGUACCGGAGAAAAAUUGGAAAACAGCUUAAAUGCCCAGGUAUGGGGUCUAGCAAGGGAUAGAUGUUUUACUAAGAAUACAUUGCAUACAGAUGUGCUCGAUUCU